AGCCUGGACGGCUGCGGACGGAGCUCAUGGAUAGAGGACGCUUGGCAGGAUAACCCCGCGAUGGCUGCCCAGUCGAGCUUGUGCAACGAGGACAGAAACUUGCUGCGGAUUCGAGAGAAAGAGAGACGGAGUCAGGAGGCCCUGGAAGACAAAAAACAGUUCUCUGAGAAGACUCCCCUCUUUGCAGAACCCUACAAGACUAAUAAAGAAGAUGAGUUGUCAAGCCGAAUUCAGAACAUGCUGGGCAAUUAUGAGGAGGUCAAGGAGUUCAUGAGCAACAAAUCUUGUCAAAACCUUAUAGGGAUUCCAAAGAGUGUUGCCCCUCUGUUUCCCCCCAGACAGCCUGAUCGCCCAUACUUCCCUGAGAAGGCCAUCCGUACAUUGCCGUCUUCAUUCCAGCCUCCGACCCGCCGUCCACCCGUGGGACCCAUGGUUGUACCCCCUCGUCCUCCAAGCCACUCCAGUCACUGCCAAAAGGCACAGUCAGGAACAGAACCAGCUUCAGGUUUGCACAGCAAGAGCCGCAGCUUACCCAGUGCUCGGAGCCACGGUCAGGAGCACGGCCGUGAUGGCCAGGACACUCAGGCAGGUUUUCCCCACAGCCAAAAUGACAAGCCUGGGAGCGGGGAAGGUCACGCUCGUGGCCUGCAGGCCUCCCCUCUGGCGCUUUCCCCGUUCCUGCCGUGUUUGUUGUCUUCUCCCGUGGCACCCCUGUCACCUCUACAUUCCAGCCAGCACAUCAAUUCCAGGUCACAGAACAGCAGCAAAAGUCAUGGGUCAACCUACAGUCAAACCAAAUCAUUGCAGGACUUAGUGACAGGAUCGCAGGAGAAGGAAAGUCGGGACAGCCCAGCUGUUACCUUGACCAGCACCACUCAGCCUUCCUCUCAGACUUUCCCCCCUUCUUUGACAUCAAAAGCCAGUGCAAUGCAGCAGAAACCAACUGCCUAUGUCAGACCCAUGGAUGGCCAAGAUCAGGCACCAUUUGAAUCCCUGGAGCUCAAACCUCUCCUGGAGGAAUACCAUGAAGGACCCAAUGAAGAUGUCUCAGAUUUGAAGGCAAAAGUUAAAGCUGAGCUAUCCAAGUUAGAAACCCCUUCUGAGCCCAAGGAAGAGACCGAUGAAGAUCUCUUAGAUUUGAAGGCGAAAGCCAAGGCAGAACUAUCCAAAUUUGAAACCUCAUCUGAGCCCAUAGAGGUACAUCCAGAGGCAAUGACCUUGAUCACUUCUCCUUGGGAUGGCUGCAUGGAUCACAGGCAGUUUGGGGGUUUGGCUACUGAUUAUGAGCAAACCAACCCCAUUGAUGUGCAGUCCAUUGAAGAAAUUUUGAGGGAAAUGACCCGCUCUUGGCCACCUCCCCUGACAGCUCUUAAUACACCUACUAAAGCAGAGCCUUCCAAAUUUCCAUUCCCAGCAAAGGAAUUGCAACCUGAAGGAUCUAUAGCAAAGGAUCGGAAGCAAUAUGGAGCACCUCCAGAAACACUGGCAGGUUCUCAGCCAAGAACAUCAAUGCUCCAGGACGACCUGCAGCUCAGUGAUAGUGAAGAGAGUGGUGAUGACCAAGUUGUUGAAAAGUCACCUUCUUCAGUUGCUCCUCCAAGUUCCUUACAGUCCCAGCCUAAGAGUGUGGCAUCAGCACAUUCCAGCAGCUCGGAGUCGGGGAGCACCAGUGACUCAGACAGUUCCUCAGACUCGGAGACAGAGAGCCACUCGAGUGACAGUGAAGCAAACGACCCUCCAAGUGCACCAGCACCUGAGCCUGAGCCACCGACUUCUAAUAAGUGGCAGCUUGACAACUGGCUGACCAAGGUGAACCCACCGGCAGUGCCAGCAGAGAGCCUCAGUGACGUUGCCCGUGGGGAUGGACUUGAGGAGGGCAAGAAGCAGGAGCAGGGCAGCAGCAGCAGCAAUUCCUGCCAGCAGCAUGCUGAGCUGAGGGAGCCUCCUCACAAGAGCCAGGUGGCCAGGGCUCCUCAGGAGGCUCCUCUUCCCACUAAACGCAGCUGCCAGAAGCCUCCUGCACAUGCCAAGGAGCCCUCGCCCAGGCAGACUGUGGGGAUCAAAAGGCCCAGCAAGCCCCUGGUGCAUGAGGGGCCCAAGAGAGGCCUGAAGGUGGAGAGUGAGCCUGGUCCUUUAGAGAUCACAGACCAGUCUUUCAGGGACAAGCCAAAAGUAAAAAAAACAGUGAAGACAAAAUCCAAUGACAGAAAAGACCUGAAACCAGGACUUCAGGAGCCCUCUGAGAAAAAAAAGGACAAGGGCUCCCACCAAGCCAAUGCCAAACCCUUCUUAGACCCCAGGCUCAUGGGAGAUGCCCAGGCACAUGAUGCUCUCAGUCCCCUUCCUCAGGGCCAGGGCACAACCCCCAUCAGGACCAGCAGCCACAGGCCUCAGGAUUUGCACAAGGAGAAACUGCCCUUGCCUCUCGGGGAGAAGUUGCUCUCACCAGUGAGGGAUCCCCCAGCCCGUGAGUGCCUCAUGGUGAAAAUAGAUCUCUGUCACCUGGACAAAGUCCCUCAGCUCCCCAACAAAAACGGGCACCAGAGGAAAGCAGAGACCAAGGACCUUCCUGGUGUGAGGAAGCAGGACUUGAAGAGGAAAGCCACGGACACUCCUCAGGAGUCCCUUGGAAAGAAGAGGAGAGGAAAGAAGGAGGAGACUGAUAGGAAGAAAAUGAAAUCAGAAAAAGAAACAAAAUCAUUGCAGUCUUCAACUAACCAGGACUCCAGUAAAUUGAAAGCAUCAAAAGCUUCAUCUGAAACCCAGAAGAAAGAUGUACUCCCACCACUGCCAGCUGUGUCUGCUGCACAUCCUGCACCAAAGUCAGCCAAGAUGACCCAAAAGAGACACAGAAAUGAGACUGAUGAGUUUCCUGCCAUGGAUAGCCCUCCCAGGAAGAAGAGCAACCACAAGGAUCCUUUGUUUGCCAAGCACAGGAAAGUGGAGGGAAAUCACACAGAACUGUCAAAGGGCGUCAAAGGAUCUGGUGAUGUCGCAAAGCCUUUCCCAGUGCCUUCUUUGCCAAAUGUUACCUCUAAGCCAAGAAGACCUCUGCUCAAGUUUGAAAUGCAGCAUUCAAAGGAAUACUACAUUGAACAGGCCCAGAGGCUGAAGCACAAAGCUGAUGCAAUGACUGACAAGACUGGAAAGGCCUUUCAGUACCUGGAAGCUGCUCUUUUAUUCAUUGAAUAUGGGAUUGCCUUGGAAUCAGAUGUGCUGGAACCAAAAUCAGCUUACAGCAUAUUCAGUGACACCAUAGUUCUCAUCAAAUUCAUUAUGACUUUGAAACCAUUUGCAGACUCCUCAGUCUCUUCACAUGGAAAAAUCUUUGCUGUGUUACACAUGCGCUGCCAGUCCAUUCUGCACAUGGCAAUGUUUGGUUACAAAAAAGACACUGCAAUGAGGUAUUCCAGACUCCUGAAUGACCACUUCAAGAGUAAUUUCAGAGUAAUACAAGCACCUUCUCCAGGUGUUGCAAGAAGCACAGGCUUGCCUUCUCCUCUUUCUCCAAUACCCUCUCCUGCUGGAUCUGCGAGUUCUCAGCAGGGAUCAAAUGAUAGCAACGGCAUUGGUCACAACAACAUUGGCAACAGCACUGGCUCUACUGUCACUGUCUCCUGUCAUAUCUCCAGUGUCACCUCUUCCUAUGUCAACAUCACCUCCUAUAUCCUCCAUGCAUAUGAAAUUUGGGAAAAGGCUGAUGCACUGGCCAGAAAGAAUAAAGAGUUUUUUUCUGAACUCAGCAGAGCGACGAGUGCUCUGGCACUGACCAGUAGCCUGACAGACCUGGUACACUACAUCAGACAGGGAUUACAGUGGCUGAGACUGGAAGCAAAUAUGCCUUAACUGGUUCUCCAGGUGGUUGAAUACCUUGAAGUUUUUUUGCACUUUUGAAGCCUCAGAAACAGUUUAAUUUUUUUUUUUUAAUUGUUCAAUACAAAGCACCUGCAAGGGAAAAUAUUUUAAAUAAAGUUGGAAGUUAUCUGGUUACACUGGAAAACCCUUGAACUGUGUUUUUCUAGGGUAGCACUUUGCUACCUUGAAAAAGAAGAGAUGGAGGAUGGCACCUUCCUUUAAAACAAUGAAGUGCAAUGAAUUGUCUGAAUGGCCCGAUGUAUUGAUGGUCUAUAAACAUUUCUGUCACAAAUAACCAGCUGGACAAUAAUUGCACAUGAUGCUGACAAGAAGGAAAUCUGCCUCCAGAGGUGGUUAUGCAACAUCCCGCAGUCUGCAGCCAGUUGUGUGCCCAGUCAACAUGCCAGAGUUGUUUCUGCAAGCACAGAUGCAGUCUUUGGUGUCUUUGUUCCUCGGAGAGCAAGUAGCAACCUCAUCAAGCACCAAACAGCAUUAUGUUGCAGGAAAAACAGCAAAAGUAUCUGCUCUGCCUGCUUUCCAACCUCACCCUCCUGCUUUUGUCAGCCAGCUGACAUAACUGAGGAAACCACUGCCUUCAGUGCUGCAAGUUUUCUUUUCAAGUCAUCACUGCUUUGGUCCUCCACACUGUGGUCUCGUGCACAUCCAUGCCCUGGGCACUCCAGCUGUGUUACUGAGGGGCUGGCACAGCUUUAGCCUUGCAAGCCAAACACAGUUGGGGUGGCAAAAUGACGUGGUGUGUCUGCCUCUGCUGAGAGAUGUCACCAUGAGGAUUCUUUGUUGGGCUGAUUUUUGUCAUUUCGGUGGGUGGGGUUGGAAAGCUGCACUGGUUCACUGUGAUUGCUUGGAGAUGGUUCUAAGAGCUUCCAUGGGAAGGAAUUGCUUCUGGUUAAGGAGGGGUUAAGUGGCUGAAUGCAGAACAUAAGAUACAUUUUGCAUUUAGAUAUUUGCCUGCAACCAUUGAGGGUCUCGGUGAAUAUCUAAGAGCAGGAUUUGUACCAAAGUAGGGUCAUCUUCAUGUGGGAGACAACUCACAUGUUCUCUCAGCCAUGCUAUAGGAUGGGCCCAGUGACUUAGAAACCUAUCAAGGGAACAAGAAAGGGAAUAAUGAGCUGUUUCCAAACAUUAUUUUCCUUGUCACAGUAUCAGUGAAGGCAGCACCUAUGGCAUUUGUGUAUUCUGUGAGAUGACACCCUUCUCUACUCAAAGGUUCCUUGUGGUGUGACAGCAGCAUCCCGCCAUUCUCAUACAUAAUAGUGUGCCUUAGCCCACUGGUCCCCUCUCACAUCCCUCGCCCUCUCUCUGACAGACCUGUGGGAUUGGUGAAGAGAAGGAUGGUAUCCCAAAAUAAUUGUGUUUACGAGAAGGAAUUUUCCUUUCCACAUAAUUUCACAUAAUUAGGGAGGAACAGGUCUGCAGAUGUGCAGAAGUACCCCCCCCCUUGUAAAAUACCUGCUUGUGGGUUUGAGGCUUUGAAAAUGGACCGUAAAUAAAUAUCAGUGAAAGGUUUGCACUUCCAAAAGUAGUUUCUGCAGAAAUGGCCCCUGCCACGGGGAAGCCUGGGCUCUUCUGGGUUCUGGGAGGAGGUGAUGGGAACGUGCUGGUCCCGAGCACAGGAGAGCUCUCCUGUCACCUUCCCUGGCAGUGCAGGACCACUGGGAUCAUGGCUGGGCCUUUCUGCUCCUUGAAGGGAUUGGCCUUUUAUGUUCGCUUUGUUAAAAGCCUCAGAGCAUUUCAGGGAUCAGCUGUCCUAUCAAGUGGAAGGAAGAUCCACGUUUCCCCUCCCCAUUUUACCUAUCAAGCUUUGCUUGCACUCCUCCCCGCUGGAGCAGCGACUGCUCAGAGUAAGCAGGGACAGAGAAGGGCUCAGCAUUAAAUGUUUUGUUCUCAGGAAGUGUGGGGAUGGGCAGCCAGCAUGGAGGCUGGAGUGCACUUUGGAACUUGAUCCCAGACCGGUGGAUCGAUGCCACCUUUGGACUUUGUCUUCAGACAAAGCUAUUUCUAGGAUCACCAGCUAAGGAGGAGGAGGAGGAGGAAAGACAAAAGCUUUAUUGAACCCAGAAACCACCGUGGGAGCCUGCAGGAACUGUAGCAGAGUGUUAGGGGAAGCAUAAAGGGCAGCAGGGACAGGGGUGUCCUGGUACUUUCCUUCUGUGUGCAUCCAUGUCCCUCCCUGCUGCCAGGAGAGGUGCUGCUGUGCAGAACUGGUUGUGUGAGGGCUGCUCCCAUUCCCAGGACAAACUCCCCUGGGCUUUGCAGGAAAGAGCACCACAGGCAGUUUGUGUCACAGGUGUGUGGGGGCUCUCUGGGGGCUCUCAGUUGGAAAGCAAUCUGUUGUGGAAGCAUCACUCCCAAGCUCCACAGCGGGAAGGUAGGUUUUGUUUCAGGACACAGAGAAAGACUGUUCAAAUAAUAGGAAAUUUUAAGAAAAGCCAUGAUAUUUCGACCCUGAGCCAGGUCAGAGGCCUGCAGAGCAUUAGGAAGGAAGCUCAUCAUUUUCACCUGGGCCUAUUCAGGCCUUUAAAAAAAGCAAGCAAAAAAUAAAUAAAAAUAGAAAUCGAAGUGUAGCAGUGGAGGAAAUAGCAUUUGCCAUUAAGAAGCAAACCAUUAACCCAAGGAAAAUCAGGGGUGAUUGUUUAAUCCCAGAAAGAAAGGAGGCAGCUAUGGUGGCAAAGCAGCAUCAUUUCCAUGCAAUAUUUAUUUAAAAGAAAUAAUAAUACAUGUGUUGAAAUUGUCAAAUGUUCUAUUUUUAAGAUGCCAUUUAUUUAAUAGUUGAAAACCCCACUUACAUGGAGAUAGAGAUCUAUUCUGUAACUGAAAGUCAAAGUCUGACUGCAAUGCCCUUGUUUUUUGGUUUUGUCCUCUCCCCUCCCUCUUGGUUUCCAUGAUGAAUCUGUACAUCUUAUUUUGGGGAUGUAUGUCCCUCUUGUAUAUAACCUUUUUCUGCCCUGCGUGUGAUGGAAUUUCUGAGAUGGUUGAUUCAUAUGGGGGAAAUAAACAAUAAAUGAAUGUUUGUUAUGAGGUGUUUCAAGAGUCCUUGUGUUCUCAGCUUCUUGCAGAGAAAUUCUAGUGUAGCUUUUCUCUGAAUGGCCUUAGUGUUUUCCUUCUGAAUGAGGUUGAGGUAUGAAUUUCUGUACAAGAAGUCUCUUGUUCCUUUUGCUGCCCUGCUUGCUGCCCCUUGCCCUUUCCUUAAUGACCAAAAGUGGUGCAAAUGUAGAUGCUCUGAGUGGCAGGAGCGUCAUCACUUGGGACAUGUUCCUCCCACCCUCCCAAAUCCCAUGUGCUGGGCCAGCUGCUGAGGCCAGUUCAGAGCCUGGCUCUGAGCACUCCCUGACAGAAACAUCGCACAGAUUGUUUUCAGACAAUCCAAGGUAAAUUAGAAACCAGGAGACAAGGCAGAGAAGUGGUGGCUGAAGGCUCCUGCUGUGUCUUUGCCACAAAGGUGUUGCAGGGCUCUGUUUGUGGAUUGCUUUCUGAAGGGCUGUGAGGAGGAUUUCCCUCAGGGAAUCCCACAGGAUUUUGUGCUCUGUGGCAGCAAUGGUUGUGCAAGGGGAUCUCUGCCACAGCCUUGCACUUCUUGUUAGAAGCUUUUCCCGCUUUUUGUUUUCUGUCAGGGAACGUAGCUGUUCCUUGGAAGAGUGGUUUUGGCAUCUCUGUGCACCGUUGGGAUAUAAGUUGUGUGUGAGAUUCAGGUCUGUUUUGCAGCAAGCAUUGCCCCCAAGGAUGUUUGCUAAUAGUGGAUGUGGUUUUCUCAUGCACUGUGUAAAUUGUAGAGGAUACUGAGGCCGAGCUUAAUACCCACUGGAAAUGCUGCUGGUACAGGUGCUGUGCAUAGAAAUGCUCUCUUGCAUCGUGGGCAGUGCAGGGCUGGGGCAAAGCAGGGAGGGUUCAUUUUGGGGGUGGGAUGGAAAUGGGGUUGAACAUGCCAGCAGGGAGGGCAUCCAAAAGCCAGGCAGGAUGUGGGGCUAUAGCAAGUGUUGGCUGCCCUGCUUGGCUUUCUGCCCAGGGCAGUGGCCCCUCUGGGCUAACACAGCCAGAAAUAUUUUUUCAAUAAUAGUUUGUUGUAGUUUCUUUAAUUAUUGAGUCUUUAUUGCCCAAACCUAAUUUUGCAACCCUGUUUAAUUUAUUUUGAGAUUUGUUAUUGAUUAUAGAUGAGCUUGCAUUCUGUCUUCGGCUCGGCUUAUCCUUUUCAAAGACAAAUGUCAUUUUUGGCAGAACAGCUCAGUUAAAGUCGAUUGCACUUUUUCAGUCCAAACACUAAAAUAACCCCUUGGCAACCUGUGCUUUCCUUACAUUAAUUGCAGUUUCAGCAACCCCUGUCACAAAAAACCAGCACUGUUCCUGGGCUAUCAUCAACCUUUCUGAAUGUGUUUCCAUAACCUUCGUGUUCCUGAAAGUUGUGCACUUUACAAGAGCAGUGUGCACUCACUGCUGCUUUGUCAUGUAUUUUGUCAAGGUGUGGGGAUCCCAAAUUUACUGCUGGGUUUUCCUCCUCUCCUGCUCAGUAUUGCCUGAGGCUAUGGGUUUUUUUGGGUCUAACCCUUCAUGUUGCAGCAUUAAGGCUGUGUUUUAUACUGUCAGAGACAUUUACAAAACUUGUAGAUUAUUUAGUGAAAUCUUGAUUUUACUGCUGGCCAGUUGCAUAUGAAGAAAUACGUGUCAAUGGGAAAAAUAGUUUAGGUGUUUUUGUUUUUUGGGUUUUUUUUUUCAGUCUCCAAGUAAUAAAAUGCAUCUGUUUUUCACUUGUUCCAUGUGGGGCUUUUCCCAGUUGCCUGCUGUACCUUUUCACUUGGAACCCAUAGCUGUGGUAAAGUCAAGUCUUUGUUUAAAUUUUCAUUUGAAAGAAUCAGAAAAUCCUGUCAGUUUAACGACUGUGAAGGAGUGAUCACUUAGAUAAUGUAGUGCCUUGGGAGUCAUUGUAAUCUUUUGGACCAGCGAGGCUGUGUGCUAAAGGUAGCUGGGCUCCAGCCCAGGCCAUGAAAUACUGUGCAGGCAGAUCAGAACCUGGAGGGCAUUAGGGGUGUGAAUCUUGAAGUCAAUGCUCAAAAUCUUUUUUAAGAUUUUUGUCCCACACAGGUGGGAGAAGUGAGCCUUUGACUUAGAUUAUAUUCAGUGCUAAUUGGAAUAGUAAACUGAGUGCAGGUAGUAGAUUAGACUAAACAGUCUGGCUAAGGCAAGAGAAAUCUGCAGAUCAGGGGCACAACAUUUAUUUUAGCACACAAAACCUGCCUCUUGACAGCCAGUGGAUUUUCUGUGAUGAUAAUUGAACAAGAGGCAAACAGUUCAUUGUAUUUCUGUAGCCAGUGGAAGAUAGGAAUCACUCCAGACAGAGGCAUUACUUCCCCCUGCUGUUAUUUUGUGUAAGGGCAAGAUUUGCUCUGGAAAACAGAAAAUCCCACACUGCAGUUUGGUAGCUGACACAGCACAGUUCAGACAUGGUCCUGGCGCAUCCCUGUUCCUCUCCAGUGAUUCCUUGGCACUGUGUGAGUGGGACAGAACAUGCACCACAACUGUGCAGUGACUGGUGGCAACUGGAAAACGGCAAACUGGUUUGUAAGAACAUUGGUAAAGAAAUAAAUGUAGAUUUUUUUUUUUAAAAUACUGUUUUUGAAGUGCUCCAAGGGCAAAUUAAUUCUCCUAAUAAAUGCAGCAGUAUGGGAAAAUGGGAUACAAGAGCUUAAAUCCUUUAAAACACAAAUGUAUGUUUAAAGCUGAGGAUGUGGAAAAUUUUAUAAUAAAACUAAAAAAAAAGUGAAGAGAAAUUAAACCUCUGAUUUUAUGUCCAAUGACUGUAGAAGUUCAGGCUUGGGAAACUGGGUUAGGUAGAAGGAGGCUGGGUAGUAUAGCUCUUGUGUCUUGGCUGAGGGCAGGCAGUAAAAUGUGCUGUUACAGUUGUGAUUGAAAACUCUCCUAAAUAGGAAUUUAAUAAGUGAUUCCCUCUUUUCACAGAAAAUUUUAGGACAUAGAGUUGCAGUGUAGCAUUCGAAUAUGAAAGAAGAUUGUGCAGAUGACAGGUAGUCAGAGCAACAGAGCUACAGCAAUCUGCUCUCAUGAAAAAAAAUCAUCUGGUAAUUAUUUUUCAUCACUGAGGUGAACAAAUCAUCUCCUUGAUUUGUUUAUCAAAUUAGGAGUUCUUGGAAUUGAUGAUUUGUAUCUUAUCAAUGAUGUGCUGAUUUUAUUUUUAUUUUUUUUAGAUUAAUUGUGUCUCUUUGAGAUGAUUUAUUACCACAUUCAUUCACCAUCCGAUGUGCAGCUUUUUCUUACAUGAAUUUUUCUGGAAUCAGCUGUAAUUUGAAGGAAAUGUAAAGAAUCUGUGAUUUGUAGAGAUGGGCUGUGGUGCUUUGCUGGCUACAGCACUCCAAUGUCAAUUUGUUUUUCUCAUCCCAUUAACUAAUAAUUUACAUGUGAAAUUCUUGUUGCAGAGGCAGCGCUCCAGGAGCUCUCCUGUCUGGACUGGUAAAGAGUCUCCCUGAAUUUCCAUCACUGCUUAAAAUGUUCAAGUCACAGGAUUUAAUUUCUUGUCACCUUUUUUCAUUGAAUGUAUGAGCCUGCAGCCUUUGGACAGAGCAGCUGCACAGUCUGGCCCUGGUACCUGAGGGCUCCCUGAAUGGCUCCUUCUCAGCUGCUGGGAAUGGGGGUUUGGUGAUAUUCCUUGUCAGAAAGCCUGUCUGUGCAAGGUAAUUACCUGCUGGUCUGAAAGGGAGGGAAAGGGCAGGCACUGAUGUCUCCUCUCCCUUCCAUCCCCAUAGAUCAACAGGAACAGCUUCAAAUCCCAGUUCUUACUAUGGCCUCUGCAAGCUGAGAGUAAGAAAUCAUCUCUCUAGGGAAAUUGCAGGUAAGGCUGGAGCUGCUGGGAGAGGCUGAGCCGAGGAGAGUCUUGUCAGCACAGGGGUGUGAGGUGAGAGUUGCUGGGACAGGGAGCUUACCCUGAGUGGGGUGACUCCUGACUCCAGACUCAGCUGGUCCUUCAGCUGAGCUGUCGUGGCCAGUGACUCCAGGGGAUGAUGGUAAAGCCUGCAUGGAAAAACCCAAAUUGCAGAAGUGAAGCCAAAGCUAUUGAUUUAAUACUAUUAUUUUCAGUUUGAAUAAUCCAGUGUCUUCUGUGACUUUACAUUGAGAUGUCUCUUCAAAUAAUUUAAUGUAUGCAAAGACAUCAAGUUCUGCCCAUAAUAAUUUGAUGUUGUAUUAGUGAUAACAACAUUGAAAAGAAGGGAAGCUCUUGAGAGGGUACAUAAGGUUUAACUUUUCCAAGCAGCUUCCAUGUUCCAUUAGAACAGUUGUUUGCCUGGGGCUUGGUGAAGAAAGGCAGAAAGAAGAGGAAUCAAGUAAUUCCAUUGAAGGGAUACAGAAAUCAGUUCUGCUAAAUACAGAACUGUAAAAAAACAGGGGAGAGUCUUUGGAAGAGAAGCUGCUAGAGUUUCCCUUGUCUGUUUUCCUGAGGUCUGCAUCUUAGGGGUUGGCAUUUGAGUAAAUACCACCCCCAGCCCCAUGGAUUAGGAGGCAUUGUUGUCUCACCUGGGGUUAGGAGCAGGUGUGGACAGAUUCUUGUACUGCCAGGUGUCCACUUCCUCAGCUUUAGGGAAUCUCUUGAUUAAUCUGUGCCCAAGUGUGUGAAACAGAGUUUGGCUCACCAGGGUACAGUGCAGAUGGAUUCUCAGCAGCAGCUCAUGGUCAGGAGGGAAUUCACUGUCUCUCCCAGGAACUUUGUUUCAUCCUCCAGGUGCCAUCAGGGGUUUAUUUAUGACAUUUCUGCAAAUGCUCUGCAGUGCAGCGCUAAUCUCUGCUCUUUCUGUUUUUGAGAUGCAGUCCUGAGCAUUUCAACAGGACUUGAUGUUGUGAUCAUUAUUUGCUCUAAGAGCUUAGCUACUACAGAAAUUGUUAUCUGCCACCUCUUUAAGCAGCCAGACCAUUUCAGUCCAGGUCUAACAAAUGCCAAUUCUUACAGAUAAGAAGCAGUAUGGUAGGGCAAAGGCUCUGCUGCCCUUCUGAUUAGAUUCUGCAUGGUUUAACAGGGUUUAAUCCAAAUCUUAAGGUUUUAAUCCAAAUCAUCCUCACUAAUGGUCUCAGGCUACAGUAUAGAGGUUCCUCAGUUCUGCAUUGUACUUUGCCAAAAUGUCACAAAUUUCUAGAGGAAUGACAUGUUCUCCCUGCAGAUGCCAGGAUGCUUUUUCCAGGUUCUCGGCCAUGUUGCACUGGGAGAGACAAGCCCCAAGGCAGUGAUACCAAGCUGUUUUCUUCUCACAUCAGCUCACCUCUCCCUGCAAAUGUCAUGACCUUCCUAAAAAUCUAGAGGGCUUUUAAAAAGAAAUGUUUUCAAUUGGCUUUGAGCUCAUGUUGGUUUGCAUAAGAAAUUACUUCAAGGCCCUGAGUGAACCUAAGGGGUUCGUGUUCUUCAAAGGGGAGUUACAUAAAUCAAGAGUCUGUGUACUCCCAUGCUGGUUUUCUUCCUCUUCUUCUUUCCUCUGCAAAACAUUUGUACUCUAGUUUAUCUAAAGGAUAAAAAUUGCAUUUUCCUUCAGUUGUACAAACUGACGAGGCAGCUCUCUGCAUCUUCCCUGACCACCAGGCAAGAUGAAGGAUUUCUGGCACCCCAUUAGGAACACCCAGAGCUGUGAUGUUCCCAGUGGUUCAUACAGCAGUGUACAGGGCAGGGUUUCAUUUGUUGCUUUUCUGGCACACACUUGUUCUCUGUUGGCUGGCUCAGCAGUAUUUAGCAAUUGUUCCUUGCUUACGUGGAAAUAGUUCUUGGAUUAGAAUUCAGUCUCUCUGUGCAGUUAAUUUGUUGAACCAUGUGGUAAAAGAAAUGUUAUUUUGCCCUUAAUCAUUGUUAACAGAAACAUAACCAUGACUAAACUCUCUUGGAUAUACAUAUAAUUUUCAAUAUAAUGUACAACAAAAGGCAUUGUAUUAAAAAUUUCUAUUGAGUGUCAAUGGUUUUAGUUACAACCUAUAAAAUUACACUUAAUGAAUCCCAUAAUGUUUCACUUACCAGUGUCUCUGUCUAUUACAAAUGCUGAACUGGGAGCUGCCAAAGGAGUCUUGCACUGACUCUCAUAAUAAUAAUAAUAAAAGGGUUCAUUGCAGUUGUUCCACAUAAUCCUCCAUAACUUGCUGUUUCCAAGUUCGUGAUCCUUUGAUGCUUAUUUGGCUACAAAAUGAAAGCCUUGUCUCCAGAUAAUGAGGGAAUGGAAGGUUGUCCUGGACCAUUUGAAGUCUGAGAAUAUUUGAUUCUUUCAUUGUUUACAGCUAGACUUGAAAAGGAUCAAAAAGAUUUUUGCAGUACUAGCUUAGUGUAAAGACUUCCUUCUGACUUGUAGCACAGGCAGUGACCAUAAAGAAGGUAUUCUCUUUAGCAAUCAAUUACACAGUAAUUAAAGCAAAUACGGAUUGUUUCAUACAACAGGGACAGGGAGUCAAGAGCUUUUUCAGUAUGGAAACCACUUAUGUAUGUACAAGCCAGAAGGCUUGGUUUCAUCUAAAAACAAAGUUCUCUCUGUACUGAAAACUUCAGGUUAUUGUUAGUCUUUUACACCUGUUCUGGAAAUCAGCAGACACCCAGACUGCCAUUAAUGGCUGCACAUGAUUUCCUUCAGGAAGCUGUACCUGAUUAUCCAAAUGGAGCACUAAGACACAACAGAGUAAAACAAAUUAAAAACGUUUUCAGCUUAGCUCUCCAUUUGAAUUAAUUCCACUGGAGCGAAAUUUCCCUGCUCUUAGGAUCUGAAGUGAGUCUCUGAGUGUAUAGAAAUGGAGGAGAAUUCCCCUUAAGAGUCAUUUAACAAUCCUUACUGUAUUUUGUUAUUUUCAAGGGCACAUCAGCAUAAAGCAGCAGGAUAAACAGGCAGCUAAGCCUAGAAUGUCCACUGUUGAGAAAAGGGCACUUGGAUCCCACAUGGAAGAGCACAAGAGACAGUGACAGACUAGGAAUGAGAAUCCUGCUGCUGAGGGAAAUUUAUAUUGGCACUGACACCUUCACAGAAUGCUCCUGAGGGUGAAAAUGAACCAUCAACAUCACAGCUUAUGGGAAGGUGUAAGUAGUACUGGCUGCCAGGUUGAUAUGUAAAUGUGUGUAUUCCUGUGUCACAGCCACUCACAGCAAUGCAAAAUGUUUGAAGGAAAAAUUGUUAUUGCUAGUAAGAAUAUCCUUCUCAACCUCUUUACACAAAGAAUAAAAAUGCUGCCAAAGCUAUGCUGGCCCAUUUCCUGGAAAUGCCACUUUCUGUUUGCUGGUAGAGGUAGGCAAGAGAGCUUCUGACAAAUAUCUAAGUACAACAUGUUCAGCAGAGACUUUCACCUGCCUCUGACUUGCAGGCUGAGAAGUACAAAUCAUGUGUGAUAUGUCCAGGGAGGAGGAAAUCAACCAUCAGUCAGCAGCUGAUAAAGCCACAGAACAAGAUGUUUAUUCCCAUUCUGGUUUGUGGUUUAUUUUUUUAAAAUGAGAGUUACUACUUUUGUAACAAGAAUGUUUGCUAAAUAAACCAUUUUGCUUCUUAGCUGCGCAUUUUUCUCUAAUAAAGACAUUUAUGUUCUU